rnacentral:rRNA from 1 species
GGUGUGAAUUAGCAGGCGAACGGGUGAGGAACACNUGANUAAUCUGCCUUCNACUCUGGGAUAACUCCGGGAAACCGGGGCUAGNUACCGNAUAUGAGCCUUGUUCGCAUNNNCGGGUCUGGAAAGUUUUUCGGUUGAAGAUGACUUCGCGGNGCUAUCAGCUUGUUGGUGAGAGAAUGGCUCACCAAGGCGACGACUGUGUAGCCGGCCUGANAGGGCNACCGGCCACACUGGGGCGUGAGACACGGCCCAGACUCCUACGGGAGGCAGCANUGGGGGAAUAUUGGGCAAUGGAGGAAACUCUGACCCAGCGACGCCNCGUGCGGGAUGAAGGCCUUCNGNUUGUAAACCGCUUUCAUUANGGAAGAAGCGAAAGUGACUGGUACCUGCACAAGAAACACCGGCUAACUAUNUGCCANCANCCGCGGUAAU